UCAGGCUAAGGGGUUGUGAAGAGAAGUGUAUGAUAUCCGUUCAAGACUUUUAAGUAAAUGAAAAUGCUUGCCAACCGUAUUCUCUCUUUUCCCUUUCCAUAAGCUGGGUCAUAGUUACGAUGCUGGCUGGCAACCUUUCACUGUGUAGAUGGAGUAGAUGGAGCACCUAUGGAAUUAUGGAGCCUGGGUCUCUGGAAGCCCUCAUGAAAGAGAGCUGCCUUGCACUGGACUGCUAGGUCAGGAUCAUCAGUAUCACCCCUGUCCACCUUCACAUUCUUGUCCUACUGAAAGGUCUUAACGGGCAGCAAUAUGCAUGGAGCUGUCAUCUUCUAUAACAAUGUCUUUUUCUGGAAUACCUCCUGAAGGACCUGCCUGAGGC
rnacentral:lncRNA from 1 species